AUUGAACGCUGGCGGCAUGCCUUACACAUGCAAGUCGAACGGCAGCACGGACUUCGGUCUGGUGGCGAGUGGCGAACGGGUGAGUAAUGUAUCGGAACGUACCUUUCAGUGGGGGAUAACGUAGCGAAAGUUACGCUAAUACCGCAUAUUCUGUGAGCAGGAAAGCAGGGGAUCGAAAGACCUUGCGCUGAUUGAGCGGCCGAUAUCAGAUUAGCUAGUUGGUGGGGUAAAGGCCUACCAAGGCGACGAUCUGUAGCGGGUCUGAGAGGAUGAUCCGCCACACUGGAACUGGGACACGGUCCAGACUCCUACGGGAGGCAGCAGUGGGGAAUUUUGGACAAAGGGGGCAACCCUGAUCCAGCCAUGCCGCGUGAGUGAAGAAGGCCUUCGGGUUGUAAAGCUCUUUCGGCCGGGAAGAAAUCGCAUAGGCUAAUACCCUGUGUGGAUGACGGUACCGGAAUAAGAAGCACCGGCUAACUACGUG
rnacentral:rRNA from 1 species